CUUUCUUAGUAUUGGUAUAAGUAUUUUUUCAUCAUUGACAGUUCAAUUUUUUGUUCAGGUAUAUUAAUCAAUGAGUGAUAUAUUUCUCCUAGAAGAAAUUUAAAGGUCCUGGUGAAUAAACUACAGAGAACAAUACCUGUUGUAUUUGUUAGAUGGGACAAUAGAACUGCCAAAAGUUUAAAUCGACAGGUAACUUGCAGGUGAAUCGUGGAAAACUAUCAUAGGGUUCGCUAUAAAACACAUUGGUGGCCUAUGGCUGUUUUCUGCCCUUUGGUUGUGUUGUUGUCUCUUUGACACAUUCCCCAUUUGAAUUUAUGCUACCUAAAUAGUUGUCAAAAGUACCAGGAUUAUAAUUUAGUACGCGAGACGCACGUUUCGUCUACAUAAGACUCAUCAGUGACGCUCAAAUCGAAAUAUUUAUAAAGCAAAACAAGUACAAAGUUGAAGAGCAUUGAGGAUCCAAAAUUCCAAAAAGCAAAAUUACUUUUGUUAUCCUGAACAUGAAAUGAAAUAUUAGCCACUGGACGUUAAGCAAACACCAAUUAAUCGUUAUUAAAGUUUGUUUUGCAUUUAUGACUUUUUGGCCAGUACAAAAGAUUAAAAAACUUUUUUCUUUUGAAAUAUUCUGUGUUCAAAUUUUAUGAUUUAAGGAUAAAGGUAAUAAAUUUUAAGUUUAUUGUGUUACAAAACAUGUUUUAUUGAUACUUCAAUUUCAAUCAUAUAAUGACUGAACAAAUAUACUGUUUAAUAAUAUAAUGGCCAGCUGGCCGGGAGUCUUUUGAUCAUUUUCUUCUGUCAUUAUAUAUAUUUUCAAAAGGUCAGCCAAGUCUUUAGUGCUAAUUUAAUAUGUUCAAGUGGUUAUGAAUAAUUAACUUAUUUAGAUUUGAGUUGCUGUAAUAUUAACAAAUACCCCAUAUUUACCAUUAUUCAAUUUUAUGAAGUGCACUUAAUUUCAUCAAAUAGAUUUUGAUACCGUGCAUCUUAGUAUUAUACUGUUGGGUAGCUUUAGAAUUUUUCCGAUAUCCUGCAUAUUACAUUGCAUCUCAACUUUCACUUCCAUACAUGUAUCAGGGGCGGAUCCAGCCAUUUUAAAAAGGGGGGGUUCCUAACCCAGGACAAAGGGGGGUUUCCAAUUACAUGUCCCCAUUCAAAUGCAUUGAUCGUCCAAAAAAAAGGGGGUUCCAACCCCCAGAACCCCCCCUCUGGAUCCGCGCCUG
rnacentral:lncRNA from 1 species